UAGGGAAUCUUCCGCAAUGGGCGAAAGCCUGACGGAGCAACGCCGCGUGAGCGAUGAAGGUCUUCGGAUCGUAAAACUCUGUUAUUAGGGAAGAACAAAUGUGUAAGUAACUAUGCACGUCUUGACGGUACCUAAUCAGAAAGCCACGGCUAACUACGUGCCAGCAGCCGCGGUAAUACGUAGGUGGCAAGCGUUAUCCGGAAUUAUUGGGCGUAAAGCGCGCGUAGGCGGUUUUUUAAGUCUGAUGUGAAAGCCCACGGCUCAACCGUGGAGGGUCAUUGGAAACUGGAAAACUUGAGUGCAGAAGAGGAAAGUGGAAUUCCAUGUGUAGCGGUGAAAUGCGCAGAGAUAUGGAGGAACACCAGUGGCGAAGGCGACUUUCUGGUCUGUAACUGACGCUGAUGUGCGAAAGCGUGGGGAUCAAACAGG
rnacentral:rRNA from 1 species